rnacentral:rRNA from 1 species
UACAACAAUGGCUUUAGUGGCGGACUGGUGAGUAACGCGUAAGGAACCUGCCUUCUAGAGGGGAAUAACAAUGAGAAAUCAUUGCUAAUACCGCAUAUGCCGAGAGAAUCACAUGGUACAAUCGGGAAAAGAGUAAUCUGCUAGAAGAUGGCCUUGCGUCUGAUUAGAUAGUUGGUGGGGUAACGGCCUACCAAGUCGACGAUCAGUAGCCGGACUGAGAGGUUGAACGGCCACAUUGGGACUGAGAUACGGCCCAGACUCCUACGGGAGGCAGCAGUCGGGAAUAUUGCGCAAUGGAGGAAACUCUGACGCAGUGACGCCGCGUAUAGGAAGAAGGUUUUCGGAUUGUAAACUAUUGUCGUUAGGGAAGAGAAAGGACAGUACCUAAGGAGGAAGCUCCGGCUAACUACGUGCCAGCAGCCGCGGUAAUACGUAGGGAGCGAGCGUUAUCCGGAAUUAUUGGGUGUAAAGGGUGCGUAGACGGGAAGAUAAGUUAGUUGUGAAAUCCCUCGGCUUAACUGAGGAACUGCAACUAAAACUGUUUUUCUUGAGUGCAGGAGAGGUAAGUGGAAUUCCUAGUGUAGCGGUGAAAUGCGUAGAUAUUAGGAGGAACACCAGUGGCGAAGGCGACUUACUGGACUGUAACUGACGUUGAGGCACGAAAGUGUGGGGAGCAAACAGGAUUAGAUACCCUGGUAGUCCACACCGUAAACGAUGGAUACUAGGUGUAGGAGAUAUUAAGUCUUCUGUGCCGUCGCAAACGCAGUAAGUAUCCCACCUGGGGA